AAGGAUUUAAGUUAAAUAAACUAAUAACCUUCAAAGUUAUAAAUAAAAAUUAUUUUUAAGCCUUA
rnacentral:tRNA from 1 species